rnacentral:rRNA from 1 species
GACGAACGCUGGCGGCGUGCUUAACACAUGCAAGUCGAACGGAAAGGCCCUGCUUUUGUGGGGUGCUCGAGUGGCGAACGGGUGAGUAACACGUGAGUAACCUGCCCUUGACUUUGGGAUAACUUCAGGAAACUGGGGCUCAUACCGGAUAGGAGCUCCUGCUGCAUGGUGGGGGUUGGAAAGUUUCGGCGGUUGGGGAUGGACUCGAGGCUUAUCAGCUUGUUGGUGGGGUAGUGGCUUACCAAGGCUUUGACGGGUAGCCGGCCUGAGAGGGUGACCGGCGACAUGGGGACUGCGAGACGGCCCAGACGGCUACGGGAGGCAGCAGUGGGGAGUAUUGCGGAAUGGGGGGAAGCCUGAGGCAGCAGCGCCGCGUGCGGGAUGACGGCCUUCGGGUUGUGAACAGAUGUCGACGGUGACGAAGCGUGAGUGACGGUAAUGGGUAAAGAAGCACCGGCUAACUACGUG